CGAGCAUACCACCAACAAAGCCGCCGCGUUCUCCUCUGCGACACGCAACCUUUUCCCCUCCCCCCUAUAGACUAGACCAGAUCCUUGAUAUAGAGAAGAACACGCCUCUUCCUCCCAACCACAACUACCUCCAUCUCGGCAAGGUGAGCCCGUGACUCUCUGUCUACCAUGAUUUUUUCCUCCUCGAAACCCCCGUGCGCUCUCUGGUUCGCAGGUUCCUCGUCGAUCGGCGGGCUGGGCUUGCGGCGAUCUUGGAGCGAGACGCGAGGCGGCUGCAUCUUCCGAUCUGCCCGUCCGGCGACUCAGAUCUGUUACCUAUCUGAUGGCCCGCGGCGGAUCUGGGGGUUCCCGGCGGUCUAGAGUUGACUCUGCGGCGAUGAAGGCUUCUUCUCCGACGUGCACGUGUGGAUCCCGGCUUCCCCGCUUCGCGCGACGACGGCUCUUGUAUUGAUAAUUAUCCGAUGAUAUCUCGAUAAUUAUUAGAUCUAAGAGAUCAGAGGUAAGAGCAUGUAACAAGCGAGGUGAUCGUGCCGAGAGGGGAAAAGGAGUGAAAAAAGAGAGAUGUGACACCUAGAGGCCUUUGCCAUGUUGGGUGCGCUCGCAUGGCAGGCCGCCACCGUAAUAAAGAUGGUUCUUGUGUCCCGGGGGGAGAUCGCACGGGGGUUAUUCUGUUUUAGCCCCGGGGUCUCCCCCCACCGUGUCCUGGUGUGCUCCUUUGUCUGCACCUCUCGUCCGAUCCGAUCUUCCUGGCACAACGUUCUACCGUCGCGAAUCGAUCAAGGUGCUACAAACCAAAGGUACAAUCGAUAAUCUACAGCUGAAGCAUACAUAAACUUGAGACGAAUUUCCGCUCUCGUAAAUUGUAUUCUGUUCUGAGUUUGUUUACACAGGAAUUUGUAAUCACUCGAACCCAUUUAAGUUAUAGUGAAAUCGUUUGUCUGAUUCGCAGUUGAAUCUACUAUCACAUCACAGCUCAAAUUUGAACUUCAUUAACAAUCGGCAGUCUAAACAAAGACCAAAUCGUUUAGGUACCAGAUUCAAUAUAUUUUGAUAUUUUUUCCCAGAAUAUGCUAUUUAUAUCAAAGGUUGUUAUUUUAUCUAAAUUUGUGUUUGUAUAUUUGUCUGCUCUAUUGAGAUGUACAGUGAUCAGAAUUUGAUCUUGGUUUUCUAUUUCAACUUGUAACUCUUACCUAAUGUAGCCUGAAUAGCUGUAUGAUGGGAUUGUAUAGUCCUGAAAUUAAAUCUACAGCUAUCUUCCCUGGAUGUGGACAUCAUAUUUGUUCUAUCGACAUUGGCUGAACCAGUAUGAAGAAGCACCUGCUUUGGUUUUGGAAUACGUGCUCAGCAGAAGAAUCUAAAUGUGGACCUCAAUUCCGGUCAUCGUAGGCUCAGCAGACUUCAAGAAACUGGUUAAGAUGUACUCUUAUGUAAAUUCUGUGCUAUUUGAUUCUUCUGCAUUUAGCCUGUGGUUAGUUUUAGUUCAAAUACUACAUUCCUUAUAUCCCACACAUAAUUUCAUAUUGAACAAGUCUAUUUUCAAUCUUCUUUACUUAUUUUUUCCCAUUGUAGUUUUAAUAUAUCUGUCAGCAAUGAGUUUUAGUUG